AAAGUCGUAACAAGGUUUCCGUAGGUGAACCUGCGGAAGGAUCAUUAACGAAUACGAACGAGGUUGUCGCUGGCCCUCUCGGGGGGGCAUGUGCACGCCUUUGUUUCAUUCCAUCUCAACACCUGUGCACCUUCUGUAGUUCCGGAGUAGUGGGCUUUGUUGCUCGCCUUUGGUUCUACGUCUUUACACACGCUCUACAAAGUUUCGAAUGUAAACCGCGAUAAAACGCAUCUAAUACAACUUUCAACAACGGAUCUCUUGGCUCUC
rnacentral:misc_RNA from 1 species